GCGAAGGUGGCGGAAUUGGUAGACGCGCUAGCUUCAGGUGUUAGUGUCCUUUAGGACGUGGGGGUUCAAGUCCCCCCCCUCGCACCA
rnacentral:tRNA from 1 species